UACGGAGGGUGCAAACGUUGCUCGGAAUCAUUGGGCGUAAAGCGCACGUAGGCGGCCUGUUAAGUCGGGUGUGAAAUCCCUGGGCUCAACCCAGGAAGUGCACUCGAAACUGGCAGGCUUGAGUACUGAAGAGGGUCGCGGAAUUCCCGGUGUAGAGGUGAAAUUCGUAGAUAUCGGGAGGAACACCAGUGGCGAAGGCGGCGACCUGGUCCUUGACUGACGCUGAGGCGCGAAAGCGUGGGGAGCAAACAGG
rnacentral:rRNA from 1 species